AUGAACGCUAGCGACAGGCUUAACACAUGCAAGUCGAGGGGCAGCACAGGUAGCAAUACCGGGUGGCGACCGGCGCACGGGUGAGUAACGCGUAUGCAACUUGCCUAUCAGAGGGGGAUAACCCGGCGAAAGUCGGACUAAUACCGCAUGAAGCAGGGAUCCCGCAUGGGAAUAUUUGCUAAAGAUUCAUCGCUGAUAGAUAGGCAUGCGUUCCAUUAGGCAGUUGGCGGGGUAACGGCCCACCAAACCGACGAUGGAUAGGGGUUCUGAGAGGAAGGUCCCCCACAUUGGUACUGAGACACGGACCAAACUCCUACGGGAGGCAGCAGUGAGGAAUAUUGGUCAAUGGCCGAGAGGCUGAACCAGCCAAGUCGCGUGAGGGAUGAAGGUUCUAUGGAUCGUAAACCUCUUUUAUAAGGGAAUAAAGUGCGGGACGUGUCCCGUUUUGUAUGUACCUUAUGAAUAAGGAUCGGCUAACUCCGUGCCAGCAGCCGCGGUAAUACGGAGGAUCCGAGCGUUAUCCGGAUUUAUUGGGUUUAAAGGGUGCGUAGGCGGCCUUUUAAGUCAGCGGUGAAAGUCUGUGGCUCAACCAUAGGAUUGCCGUUGAAACUGGGGGGCUUGAGUAUGUUUGAGGCAGGCGGAAUGCGUGGUGUAGCGGUGAAAUGCAUAGAUAUCACGCAGAACCCCGAUUGCGAAGGCAGCCUGCCAAGCCAUUACUGACGCUGAUGCACGAAAGCGUGGGGAUCAAACAGGAUUAGAUACCCUGGUAGUCCACGCAGUAAACGAUGAUCACUAGCUGUUUGCGAUACACUGUAAGCGGCACAGCGAAAGCGUUAAGUGAUCCACCUGGGGAGUACGCCGGCAACGGUGAAACUCAAAGGAAUUGACGGGGGCCCGCACAAGCGGAGGAACAUGUGGUUUAAUUCGAUGAUACGCGAGGAACCUUACCCGGGUUUGAACGCAUUCGGACCGAGGUGGAAACACCUUUUCUAGCAAUAGCCGUUUGCGAGGUGCUGCAUGGUUGUCGUCAGCUCGUGCCGUGAGGUGUCGGCUUAAGUGCCAUAACGAGCGCAACCCUUGCCACUAGUUACUAACAGGUAAAGCUGAGGACUCUGGUGGGACUGCCAGCGUAAGCUGCGAGGAAGGCGGGGAUGACGUCAAAUCAGCACGGCCCUUACAUCCGGGGCGACACACGUGUUACAAUGGCGUGGACAAAGGGAAGCCACCUGGCGACAGGGAGCGAAUCCCCAAACCACGUCUCAGUUCGGAUCGGAGUCUGCAACCCGACUCCGUGAAGCUGGAUUCGCUAGUAAUCGCGCAUCAGCCAUGGCGCGGUGAAUACGUUCCCGGGCCUUGUACACACCGCCCGUCAAGCCAUGGGAGCCGGGGGUACCUGAAGUCCGUAACCGCGAGGAUCGGCCUAGGGUAAAACUGGUGACUGGGGCU
rnacentral:rRNA from 1 species